UUCACUUCACUUUCCUCUUAAACCUCAGUCAGUCGAAUCCCAGUAAUUAAAAAGUAAACUCUAAAACAAAUCAAAGGAAUAUAAAGAUGAUUCCCUUUCUUGUCUUCUGGUGUCUGACAGGUGUCUGUGUGGGUAUUGAGGUCCGCCAGACUCCCUCUGGGGUCAUCACUGAUGUCAGAUCCAAAGUGGAGAUUUUUUGCAGUCAUGACAAGACUAACUACAGAGUGAUGCUGUGGUACCAGCAGCUGCCUGGAGACACAGCUAUGAAACUCAUUGGGUAUUUGUACUACAAAGCGGUCACAUUUGAAGAACAAUAUAAAGAUCAUUUCAAUAUCACUGGAGAUUUGGGUGGGAAUACAGCAAAGAACGGCUCUCUGAUAGUCAAAGGUGCAGAACAAGAGCACAGUGCAGUGUACUACUGUGCAGCUAGAGAAGCACAGUGA